rnacentral:rRNA from 1 species
GAUCAUGACUCAGGAUAAACGCUGGCGGCGCACAUAAGACAUGCAAGUCGAACGGAAGUCGUUAUAAAAAGAGAGAAGAUUUAUCGGAUUGAAUUUUAUAACAAUGGCUUUAGUGGCGGACUGGUGAGUAACGCGUAAGGAACCUACCUAUUAGAGGGGAACAACAAUGAGAAAUCAUUGCUAAUACCGCAUAUGCCAUAACUACCGCAUGGUAGAAGUGGGAAGGGAGUAAUCCGCUG